GUAGGGUGCGAGCGUUGUCCGGAAUUAUUGGGCGUAAAGAGCUCGUAGGCGGUUUGUUGCGUCGGCUGUGAAAACUUCACGCUUAACGUGGAGCCUGCAGUCGAUACGGGCAGACUUGAGUUCGGCAGGGGAGACUGGAAUUCCUGGUGUAGCGGUGAAAUGCGCAGAUAUCAGGAGGAACACCGGUGGCGAAGGCGGGUCUCUGGGCCGAUACUGACGCUGAGGAGCGAAAGCGUGGGGAGCGAACAGGAUUAGAUACCCUGGUAGUCCACGCCGUAAACGGUGGGUGCUAGGUGUGGGGGACUUCCACGUCCUCCGUGCCGCAGCUAACGCAUUAAGCACCCCGCCUGGGGAGUACGGCCGCAAGGCUAAA
rnacentral:rRNA from 1 species